GAACGCUGGCGGCGUGCUUAACACAUGCAAGUCGAACGAUUAACCCGCCCUCGGGCGGUUAUAGAGUGGCGAACGGGUGAGUAACACGUGACCAACCUGCCCCUUGCUCCGGGACAACCCAGGGAAACCUCGGCUAAUACCGGAUACUCCGCGCAGCCCGCAUGGGAGGCGCGGGAAAGCCCAGACGGCAAGGGAUGGGGUCGCGGCCCAUUAGGUAGACGGCGGGGUAACGGCCCACCGUGCCCGCGAUGGGUAGCCGGGUUGAGAGACCGAUCGGCCACAUUGGGACUGAGAUACGGCCCAGACUCCUACGGGAGGCAGCAGUGGGGAAUUUUGCGCAAUGGGGGAAACCCUGACGCAGCAACGCCGCGUGCGGGACGAAGGCCUUCGGGUUGUAAACCGCUUUCAGCAGGGAAUAUAGUGAAGGUACCUGCAGAAGAAGCUCCGGCUAACUACGUGCCAGCAGCCGCGGUAAUACGUAGGGAGCGAGCGUUAUCCGGAUUCAUUGGGCGUAAAGCGCGCGUAGGCGGCCCGUCAAGCGGGGUUUCAAAUCCAGGGGCUCAACCUCUGGCCGGACCCCGAACUGGCGGGCUCGAGUGCGGUAGAGGAAGGUGGAAUUCCCAGUGUAGCGGUGAAAUGCGCAGAUAUUGGGAAGAACACCGAUGGCGAAGGCAGCCUUCUGGGCCGCCACUGACGCUGAGGCGCGAAAGCUAGGGGAGCGAACAGGAUUAGAUACCCUGGUAGUCCUAGCCGUAAACGAUGGGCACUAGGUGUGGGGGAGCAUCUCCUCCGUGCCGCAGCCAACGCAUUAAGU
rnacentral:rRNA from 1 species